rnacentral:rRNA from 1 species
UGCUCAACAGCUAGCCCAUCAUAAUAAUAACAACAAGUCCCUAUAAAUAAACCCAAAACCACUAAAACAGAAGAAACAAACCAUUUUACCCCCUAAGUACGGGAGACAGAAAAGGAACACGGAGCAAUAGAAAAAGUACCGCAAGGGAAAGCUGAAAGAGAAAUGAAAAAACCCAGUAAAGCCGGAAAAAGCAGAGAUAAUCGCUCGUACCUUUUGCAUCAUGAUUUAGCCAGUCCCCCUCAAGCAAAGCGCAUUUUAGUUUGAUACCCCGAACCUAGGUGAGCUACUCCAAGACAGCCUAACAAAUAGGGCAACCCCGUCUCUGUGGCAAAAGAGUGGGAAGAGCUUUGAGUAGAGGUGAUAGACCUACCGAGCCUAGUUAUAGCUGGUUGCCUGAGAAUUGAAUAGAAGUUCAGCCCCUCGAAUUCUUCCCUUAAAUAUGCCCACAGCUACCCUAAGACUAAAAGAAAUCAAGGGAGUUAGUUAAAGGGGGUACAGCCCCUUUAAAACGAGACACAACUUUUACAGCAGACUAAAGAUCAUAAUACUUUAAGGGGGGUUAUGUCCCAGUGGGCCUAAAAGCAGCCAUCCUAGAAGAAAGCGUUAAAGCUCGAACAUAACCUACAUCCUAUAAUCCUGAUAAUAACAUCUUAAGCCACUAUUACUACCAGGCCAUCCCAUGCAAACAUGGGAGCGACCAUGCUAAUAUGAGUAAUAAGAGAGGCUAACCCUCUCUCCUAGCACACAUAUAUCUCGGAACGGACCCCCCACCGAAUCUUAAACGGCCCCAAACAAAGAGGGUAAUGAAUACUAAAGAGAUUACCAGAAAAUCAUUCAAUGUUUUACCGUUAACCCCACACUGGUGUGCACCCAAGGAAAGACUAAAAGAAAAAGAAGGAACUCGGCAAACACUUAAAGCCUCGCCUGUUUACCAAAAACAUCGCCUCUUGAAUACAAAUAAUAAGAGGUCCUGCCUGCCCUGUGACCAUGAGUUUAACGGCCGCGGUAUUUUGACCGUGCAAAGGUAGCGCAAUCACUUGUCUUUUAAAUGAAGACCUGUAUGAAUGGCACGACGAGGGCUUAACUGUCUCCUUUUUCCAGUCAAUGAAAUUGAUCUCCCCGUGCAGAAGCGGGGAUAAAAACAUUAGACGAGAAGACCCUAUGGAGCUUUAGACACCAGGACAGUCCAUGUCAAACACCCCUAUUUAAAGGACUGAACCAAUUGGGCCCUGUUCUAAUGUCUUUGGUUGGGGCGACCACGGGGAAACACAAAACCCCCAUGUGGACCAGGAAUACUUUUCCUACAACUAAGAGUUACAACUCUAAUAAACAGAACUUCUGACCAGAUAUGAUCCGGCAAUGCUGAUCAACGGACCAAGUUACCCUAGGGAUAACAGCGCAAUCCCCUCUAAGAGCCCAUAUCGACGAGGGGGUUUACGACCUCGAUGUUGGAUCAGGACAUCCUAAUGGUGCAACCGCUAUUAAGGGUUCGUUUGUUCAACGAUUAAAGUCCUACGUGAUCUGAGUUCAGACCGGAGUAAUCCAGGUCAGUUUCUAUCUAUGACAAUGAUCUUUUCCAGUACGAAAGGACCGAAAAGAAGGGGCCCAUACUUUCAGCAAGCCUCACCCCCACCUAAUGAAAACAACUAAAACAAGCAAAAGGGCAUAUCCCCCAUGCCUAAGAUAAUGGCAU